rnacentral:rRNA from 1 species
AUUGAACGCUAGCGGGAUGCUUUACACAUGCAAGUCGAACGGCAGCGCGGACUUCGGUCUGGCGGCGAGUGGCGGACGGGUGAGUAAUGUAUCGGAACGUGCCCAGUAGCGGGGGAUAACUACGCGAAAGCGUAGCUAAUACCGCAUACGCCCUACGGGGGAAAGCAGGGGAUCGUAAGACCUUGCACUAUUGGAGCGGCCGAUAUCGGAUUAGCUAGUUGGUGAGGUAACGGCUCACCAAGGCGACGAUCCGUAGCUGGUUUGAGAGGACGACCAGCCACACUGGGACUGAGACACGGCCCAGACUCCUACGGGAGGCAGCAGUGGGGAAUUUUGGACAAUGGGGGCAACCCUGAUCCAGCCAUCCCGCGUGUGCGAUGAAGGCCCUCGGGUUGUAAAGCACUUUUGGCAGGAAAGAAACGUCGCGGGCUAAUACCCCGUGGAACUGACGGUACCUGCAGAAUAAGCACCGGCUAACUACGUG